rnacentral:rRNA from 1 species
CUCAGAAUCAACGCUGGCGGCGUGCCUAACACAUGCAAGUCGAGCGAUGAAGCUCCUUCGGGAGUGGAUUAGCGGCGGACGGGUAAGUAACACGUGGGUAACCUGCCUCGUAGAGGGGAAUAGCCUUCCGAAAGGAAGAUUAAUACCGCAUAAGAUUGUAGUUUCGCAUGAAACAGCAAUUAAAGGAGUAAUCCGCUAUGGGAUGGACUCGCGUCCGAUUAGGUAGUUGGUGAGGUAACGGCCCACCAAGCCGACGAUCGGUAGCCGGACUGAGAGGUUGAUCGGCCACAUUGGGACCGAGACACGGCCCAGACUCCUACGGGAGGCAGCAGUGGGGGAUAUUGCACAAUGGAGGAAACUCUGAUGCAGCGACGCCGCGUGAGGGAAGAAGGUCUUCGGAUUGUAAACCUCUGUCUUUGGGGACGAAAGAAAUGACGGUACCCAAGGAGGAAGCCACGGCUAACUACGUGCCAGCAGCCGCGGUAAUACGUAGGUGGCGAGCGUUGUCCGGAAUUACUGGGUGUAAAGGGUGCGCAGGCGGGAUGUCAAGUUGGAUGUGAAAUCUCUAGGCUUAACCUAGAGUGUGCAUUCAAAACUGGCGUUCUUGAGUGAAGCAGAGGUAGGCGGAAUUCCCGGUGUAGCGGUGAAAUGCGUAGAGAUCGGGAGGAACACCUGUGGCGAAGGCGGCCUACUGGGCUUUAACUGACGCUGAGGCACGAAAGCAUGGGCAGCAAACAGGAUUAGAUACCCUGGUAGUCCAUGCUGUAAACGAUGAUUGCUAGGUGUGGGUGGACUGACCCCAUCCGUGCCGGAGUUAACACAAUAAGCAAUCCACCUGGGGAGUACGGCCGCAAGGUUGAA